AUUGAACGCUGGCGGCAGGCCUAACACAUGCAAGUCGAGCGAGCGGCGGACGGGUGAGUAAUGUAUGGGGACUGCCCGAUAGAGGGGGAUAACUACUGGAAACGGUGGCUAAUACCGCAUACUAUCGGAUAACCCAUAUGGGAUUAGCUAGUAGGUGGGGUAAAGGGUCACCUAGGCGACGAUCUCUAGCUGGUCUGAGAGGAUGAUCAGCCACACGGGGACUGCGACACAGCCCAGACUCCUACGGGGGCAGCGGAGUGGAAGAUUGCACAAUGGGCGCACGCCUGAUGCAACCAUGCCUCGUGUAUGAAGAAGGCCUUAUGGUUGUAAAGUACUUUCAGCAGGGAGGCGUUACCCGCAGAAGAAGCACCGGCUAACUCCGUGCCAGGAGCCGCGAUAAUUC
rnacentral:rRNA from 1 species